rnacentral:lncRNA from 1 species
CUACUCACAACGACAUGUAUACCUUCUAAGCUUUUUGCUCAUUGCUUAGUUUCCGCUCUUUUACGCCAUAAGUUGUCUUCGCUGCUUUUUUCAGUCAUCUGAUGAAAAAAAAUUUUUUUUCCUCAAGAAAACUUCCAACAACAGCUCAAAGCAAAAUAAGAUGGCAUUAGGGAACAGGAAUCUACCCAGUGGGAAAGUUUCCUCCACCCCAAGUCUCCUGGAGAGACACUGGCCAGGGCACCUGGACACCCAACUUCUCCAGAGAUGGCUGGGCCUCAGGCCUCCAGAGAGGAUGCGGGGCAGGUCGAGUGCUUCUGCACCGGGCUCACUUUGCGGUCACUUGCAUUGUAUUCUCAGGCUGACGGGUGUCUCUGCUGGGCUCCCCCAACUCUGUGGGCUCCUCACUGUCCUCCGGCUGUUUCCUACAGGGCAGGUGACCCAGCCCAUAACACUCCUGAAGGCAUGCGUGAGUGCACAGAACUGUUCUAACGAGUGUAUGUUUGAUCGCUUUAUAAAUUUUUAAAUACAUUUCCCUAAAAGGG